CAUAGGUUAAUGAGGCGAACCGGGGGAACUGAAACAUCUAAGUACCCCGAGGAAAAGAAAUCAACCGAGAUUCCCCCAGUAGCGGCGAGCGAACGGGGAGCAGCCCAGAGCCUGAAUCAGUGUGUGUGUUAGUGGAAGCGUCUGGAAAGGCGCGCGAUACAGGGUGACAGCCCCGUACACAAAAAUGCACAUACUGUGAGCUCGAUGAGUAGGGCGGGACACGUGGUAUCCUGUCUGAAUAUGGGGGGACCAUCCUCCAAGGCUAAAUACUCCUGACUGACCGAUAGUGAACCAGUACCGUGAGGGAAAGGCGAAAAGAACCCCGGCGAGGGGAGUGAAAAAGAACCUGAAACCGUGUACGUACAAGCAGUGGGAGCCUCUUUAUGGGGUGACUGCGUACCUUUUGUAUAAUGGGUCAGCGACUUAUAUUCUGUAGCAAGGUUAACCGAAUAGGGGAGCCGAAGGGAAACCGAGUCUUAACUGGGCGUUAAGUUGCAGGGUAUAGACCCGAAACCCGGUGAUCUAGCCAUGGGCAGGUUGAAGGUUGGGUAACACUAACUGGAGGACCGAACCGACUAAUGUUGAAAAAUUAGCGGAUGACUUGUGGCUGGGGGUGAAAGGCCAAUCAAACCGGGAGAUAGCUGGUUCUCCCCGAAAGCUAUUUAGGUAGCGCCUCGUGAAUUCAUCUCCGGGGGUAGAGCACUGUUUCGGCAAGGGGGUCAUCCCGACUUACCAACCCGAUGCAAACUGCGAAUACCGGAGAAUGUUAUCACGGGAGACACACGGCGGGUGCUAACGUCCGUCGUGAAGAGGGAAACAACCCAGACCGCCAGCUAAGGUCCCAAAGUCAUGGUUAAGUGGGAAACGAUGUGGGAAGGCCCAGACAGCCAGGAUGUUGGCUUAGAAGCAGCCAUCAUUUAAAGAAAGCGUAAUAGCUCACUGGUCGAGUCGGCCUGCGCGGAAGAUGUAACGGGGCUAAACCAUGCACCGAAGCUGCGGCAGCGACACUAUGUGUUGUUGGGUAGGGGAGCGUUCUGUAAGCCUGUGAAGGUGU
rnacentral:rRNA from 1 species